rnacentral:rRNA from 1 species
CAGGCUUAACACAUGCAAGUCGAGGGGCAUCAGGAAGAAAGCUUGCUUUCUUUGCUGGCGACCGGCGCACGGGUGAGUAACACGUAUCCAACCUGCCCUUUACUCGGGGAUAGCCUUUCGAAAGAAAGAUUAAUACCCGAUAGCAUAAUGAUUCCGCAUGGUUUCAUUAUUAAAGGAUUCCGGUAAAGGAUGGGGAUGCGUUCCAUUAGGUUGUUGGUGAGGUAACGGCCCACCAAGCCUUCGAUGGAUAGGGGUUCUGAGAGGAAGGUCCCCCACAUUGGAACUGAGACACGGUCCAAACUCCUACGGGAGGCAGCAGUGAGGAAUAUUGGUCAAUGGGCGCUAGCCUGAACCAGCCAAGUAGCGUGAAGGAUGAAGGCUCUAUGGGUCGUAAACUUCUUUUAUAUAAGAAUAAAGUGCAGUAUGUAUACUGUUUUGUAUGUAUUAUAUGAAUAAGGAUCGGCUAACUCCGUGCCAGCAGCCGCGGUAAUACGGAGGAUCCGAGCGUUAUCCGGAUUUAUUGGGUUUAAAGGGAGCGUAGGUGGACUGGUAAGUCAGUUGUGAAAGUUUGCGGCUCAACCGUAAAAUUGCAGUUGAUACUGUCAGUCUUGAGUACAGUAGAGGUGGGCGGAAUUCGUGGUGUAGCGGUGAAAUGCUUAGAUAUCACGAAGAACUCCGAUUGCGAAGGCAGCUCACUGGACUGCAACUGACACUGAUGCUCGAAAGUGUGGGUAUCAAACAGGAUUAGAUACCCUGGUAGUCCACACAGUAAACGAUGAAUACUCGCUGUUUGCGAUAUACAGUAAGCGGCCAAGCGAAAGCAUUAAGUAUUCCACCUGGGGAGUACGCCGGCAACGGUGAAACUCAAAGGAAUUGACGGGGGCCCGCACAAGCGGAGGAACAUGUGGUUUAAUUCGAUGAUACGCGAGGAACCUUACCCGGGCUUAAAUUGCAGUGGAAUGAUGUGGAAACAUGUCAGUGAGCAAUCACCGCUGUGAAGGUGCUGCAUGGUUGUCGUCAGCUCGUGCCGUGAGGUGUCGGCUUAAGUGCCAUAACGAGCGCAACCCUUAUCUUUAGUUACUAACAGGUUAUGCUGAGGACUCUAGAGAGACUGCCGUCGUAAGAUGUGAGGAAGGUGGGGAUGACGUCAAAUCAGCACGGCCCUUACGUCCGGGGCUACACACGUGUUACAAUGGGGGGGUACAGAAGGCAGCUAGCGGGUGACCGUAUGCUAAUCCCAAAAUCCUCUCUCAGUUCGGAUCGAAGUCUGCAACCCGACUUCGUGAAGCUGGAUUCGCUAGUAAUCGCGCAUCAGCCACGGCGCGGUGAAUACGUUCCCGGGCCUUGUACACACCGCCCGUCAAGCCAUGGGAGCCGGGGGUACCUGAAGUACGUAACCGCAAGGAUCGUCCUAGGGUAAAACUGGUGACUGGGG